ensembl:snoRNA
UGCAAAUGAUGUUUACUCACGAUGGUCUUCCAAGCCUCACUGGUGAAGAGGUUUUGACGAUAUUGCCAAAUGGCUUUACUGAUGCUCUGAA